rnacentral:rRNA from 1 species
UACGGAGGGUGCGAGCGUUAAUCGGAAUUACUGGGCGUAAAGCGUGCGCAGGCGGUUUGUUAAGCGAGAUGUGAAAGCCCCGGGCUCAACCUGGGAACCGCAUUUCGAACUGGCAAACUAGAGUCUUGUAGAGGGGGGUAGAAUUCCAGGUGUAGCGGUGAAAUGCGUAGAGAUCUGGAGGAAUACCGGUGGCGAAGGCGGCCCCCUGGACAAAGACUGACGCUCAGGCCCGAAAGCGUGGGGAGCAAACAGG